GACGAACGCUGGCGGCGUGCCUAAUACAUGCAAGUAGAACGCUGAAGGAGGAGCUUGCUUCUCUGGAUGAGUUGCGAACGGGUGAGUAACGCGUAGGUAACCUGCCUGGUAGCGGGGGAUAACUAUUGGAAACGAUAGCUAAUACCGCAUAAGAGUAGAUGUUGCAUGACAUUUGCUUAAAAGGUGCAAUUGCAUCACUACCAGAUGGACCUGCGUUGUAUUAGCUAGUUGGUGGGGUAACGGCUCACCAAGGCGACGAUACAUAGCCGACCUGGGAGGGUGAUCGGCCACACUGGGACUGAGACACGGCCCAGACUCCUACGGGAGGCAGCAGUAGGGAAUCUUCGGCAAUGGACGGAAGUCUGACCGAGCAACGCCGCGUGAGUGAAGAAGGUUUUCGGAUCGUAAAGCUCUGUUGUAAGAGAAGAACGAGUGUGAGAGUGGAAAGUUCACACUGUGACGGUAUCUGACCAGAAAGGGACGGCUAACUACGUG
rnacentral:rRNA from 1 species